AGACUGCUGACGAGUCCCAAAUAGGACGAAACACGCGUCCUGGAU
rnacentral:hammerhead_ribozyme from 1 species